UGAGGAAUAUUGGUCAAUGGGCGGAAGCCUGAACCAGCCAUGCCGCGUGAAGGAAUAAGGCCCUAUGGGUCGUAAAUUUCUUUUGUGGUGGAGCAAUAAGGAUCACGAGUGGUCCGAUGAGAUUACAUCACGAAUAAGGACCGGCUAAUUCCGUGCCAGCAGCCGCGGUAAUACGGAAGGUCCGGGCGUUAUCCGGAUUUAUUGGGUUUAAAGGGAGCGCAGGCGGAGGAUCAAGCCAGCCGUCAAAAUAGCGGUGCUCAACACCGUCCAGCGGUUGGAACUGGUUCCCUUGAUUGCGGGAGAAGAAGGCGGAACUCGUGGUGUAGCGGUGAAAUGCAUAGAUAUCACGAAGAACUCCGAUUGCGAAGGCAGCCUUCCGGCCCGCCAAUGACGCUCAUGCUCGAAGGCGCGGGUAUCAAACAGGAUUAGAUACCCUGGUAGU
rnacentral:rRNA from 1 species